UGAAUACAAGGGCAAACCUGCCGAAAGGCAGGGACGCAAAGCUUAGGAGUCUACUUCACGCGCGGCGGCAUCGCCGUGAGUGAAAAGGCAGUCCGGCCGCAUGA
rnacentral:ncRNA from 2 species